AUUGAACGCUGGCGGCGUGCUUAACACAUGCAAGUCGAUCGGUAACGCGGGGCAACCUGGCGACGAGAGGCGGACGGGUGAGUAACGCUUGGGAAUCUGCCUAUUAGUGGGGGACAACCCGGGGAAACUCGGGCUAAUACCGCAUACGCUCCACGGAGGAAAGCAGGGGAUCGCAAGACCUUGCGCUAAUAGAUGAGCCCAAGUCGGAUUAGCUAGUUGGUAGGGUAACGGCCUACCAAGGCGACGAUCCGUAGCUGGUCUGAGAGGACGACCAGACACACUGGGACUGAGACACGGCCCAGACUCCUACGGGAGGCAGCAGUGGGGAAUAUUGGACAAUGGGGGAAACCCUGAUCCAGCGACGCCGCGUGGGUGAAGAAGGCCUGCGGGUUGUAAAGCCCUUUCGGUAGGGAAGAAAAGCCUCGACCUAACACGUCGGGGUAUUGACGUAACCUACAAAAGAAGCACCGGCUAACUCUGUGCCAGCAGCCGCGGUAA
rnacentral:rRNA from 1 species